UCACCAAGGGAACGUCUCUGGCAACAAUUUAAAAAUGAAUCCUUGGUGGAUGUGGAAAGCAUCUUUGGUCUUGAAAUGGAGGGAGGAACCGAGUUGGACUGGUGCGAUUACUCAGACGACUUUGAUCUGUCAUCUAUGGUUCAUGCUGCUGAAACAGAGCAUCAGAAAGCAACUCAGGCAUUGGAAAGCAAGACAAGAGCCCAAAUGUUGGAACAUGCAGAGGCCGAAGCUUUGAUGCAUGAAUUGGGCUUGGACGAGAAUUCCUUCCACAACUCUCCACCUGGGGGCAUGAGUGGUGUUGGCGGUCCUAGAGAUUUACCUUCUGAAGAGCCACUUGACCUUCCUCCUCUAAGUGAAGGUCUAGGUCCAUUUGUUCAAACGAAGGAUGGUGGAUUCUUGCGAUCAAUGAAUCCAUCUUUGUUCAGAAAUUCUCAGCACAAUGGGAGCUUGAU
rnacentral:lncRNA from 1 species